UCGACUUCAUGCUGAAUGUUCACAAUCGAUUACAUGUAUGAACCUAAUUUUACUUUCUUUUUAAUUUCAAUCUAUUUAUUGAUUAUUUUGACUGCAGUUCCUUAUUGCAAUAUUUCACUAAGAUUAUUGCUAAGUUAAAAGUUUUUUAGAUCUAUCAAAACAUUCUGUCAAAGAGGUAAAGAGAAUUGCAUAAGAACUAAUUGUUAUGUAUUCUCUAUUUUCAUUCUUGUAACUGUAACCAUUAACUUAGAAUCUAACCAUUUCAUUCCUGAUAGCUUACUUCACUGUAACCAUUAACUUAGAAUCUAACCAUUUCAUUCCUGAUAUCUUACUUCAUUGCCUAACCACAUUCCAUCUUAUUCUCUCUGAUCUUUCGAUAUACUUACUAGGGUAUCUGAAAUGAGGAACUUUAACAUUGUAUCAUCUACGUUAUUGCAUAAGCACAAGGGGUGUGGUAGAUCUUCCAGAAGUUAUGGUAGAAGGCAUAUCCGACGAGGCCAUUUUAUUAUGUUUUGAUGAAUUCAUGGUAUGUCAGUAUAGUAUGGAACUCAGAAAGUUUUAUUUUUCCUAUUCACUAUGUUUUUAAGGGGAUUAAAGAAGCAGAGACACAGAUGCUUUGAGUCAUGAAGAUGAAGCACGAGGAAAGGUAGGGAGCUUGAGGCGUUUGGCUAAGUUGAAGAGUGAAAAACUGGAUGAAGAGUAUUCUGAAAAAACUCGUGCUUGCUGGAAACCGAAGGAAGAAGAAAAAAAGGUCGGAAAAGCUCAAGAUUUUGGAAAAUUUGCUUUGUGAUUACAACGUGAUGAAAAUGAGAAUGCAUGUGGAGAUUGAUGGGUUGUUAAGCAAAAUUGAAGCAUCCAAACAACUACUGGUAUAACCAAAUCUCUUCUUUGACUAUUUCUCAAGUAACUGUGACAAUUACAUAAUUUCCUUGUGGCAAGUUUCUUUAUAAAUAGACAAAGAAGAGAUUAAGUUAUACCGGUACUUGUUUGGUUGCUUCCAUUCUUCUUAACAAACAUGCAAUCUCCAUAUGUAUUCUCAUUUUUAUCUUGUAGAAAUCGCAAUGUGAGUUCUCAAAAGUCUUGAGCUAUUCCAAUUUUUUUCUCCUGAUUUCCUCCAUUUCCUGCUAGCAUAGUUUGGAGAGUUUUUCAGAACACUCUACCUCUAUUUUCUUUCUCAUUAGCCUAGCGAACCAUCUCAAACUCCUUGCUUCUCCUGAUGCAUCAUCUGCACGACUCUGAAACAUCUGUGCCUCUACUUCUUUGAUCUGUACAAUGCUUUUCAAGCUAUCUCCCUCGUAUUUAUUCGAUGGUUUCAUGGACAUUUCAUCUUCAAUCGCUUUGCUAGGCAUGAAAGAAGUGUUAACAGUUGGGUUCAAUUGGUGUGAAUGAAAAAUAGAGGGACACAACUCUUCGAGAAAAAAGACACUAUUUCGAAAAAAGGGUGACUGCUCGGUUAGAUGUGACUGUUCAGAAAAGACAUGUUGUUUCGGAAUGGACAGACAUGACUGUUCCAAAAUGAUACAGCCUUCCAUGAACCAUUGCUUCCUUUUCGAAGGGGCAUUUGAUGGCUAUAAUAAAUACCUGAAUUUUUUUCCUCAGGCAGUAUGAAAAAUUUCUGCAUUGAAAACACUCUUCUACUUCUAAAAACUCUUGGUGAUCAUCUGUCGUUGAGUGUGUUCGAAGAAUCAGAAGGUUUGAGGUACCACUACAUUCUGAUUGUGAGCCAUUUUAUCCUGGGGGGACAAAUUCCACAACCUCGGAUACUUGAGGGGAAUUAAUUUCUUUAGGACACUCUGUGAAUUCGGAGGACUUGGUUUUAUUUCCUAUUCAUCUUGUUUCUUUAAAUAACAUAUUUCUUUGAUAGUUCUUGAAGAACUUGCGUUAAAGGUGUUAAAAACUUCAUAGGUGUUCUUGAUAUAGUCUUGAACUUGUAUUGGAGUGUUUAUGCAAACAUGCAGACUGUGUACCCGAAAACAACAAUCUUAAGGAAAUAAUUACUAAUCUGUAUUAUUUCA
rnacentral:lncRNA from 1 species